UAAACGAAUUUCCUCGUUAUUUGUCAUACGGUAGAGUCCGCGCACCCUCCGUGUAAGACUCAUCUGUCGUAAAUCGUCUCAGAUUGUGGUGUGCAUUUGUGCUUUGUUGGCGGUGCGACGGUGCGGAGAUACCGACCAUAUCUUCGUGCCUGCCAGCACACCUCACGGUGGCAUGAAACUCUCUCAAAAGAUGACUGUGUAUAUCAGAUAUAGGACAUUUCUGCUCAACAAUUUCGAGAAAGCCAUCAUGCUGCCAAAAGUGGCUCGGGGAACAAGCUCUAGAUAUCCUGGUCAGUGAGGCUAUUUUCGAGGUGAGAGAUAUAAGUGCAACAGAACGACUCUUUGUUUGCAAAAAUAGCUCCGUCCACGUAUUUCUAUCCUGAACGAGAUGCUCUUUCGAGGAGUAAGACUCACUCUUUAUUCGGCUCACUGAGCAUCGACCAAAGCUCGAGCGGGUGUGGCACGUCAGGCGUACAUGAAAGAAAGCGGACUCUCGGGGAUCGGAGAAUCCACACAGUUUCAUGCGCCCGGUUGAUGGGAACCAGCGUCGCCUCAAUGUAACUGUCAGGCUAGUGGAGUGCAACUUCCGUUCAUGGGUCUCAUAAUCCAAUUUUUUCCUGUAGCUGCGUAGGUAUCUAAAUGUUUGUGGCAUGCGGUGCUUCAGCAACUGCCGGAAGCAUCAGACAAUGAGACUUGCUGCUGCCAAAGAGUACGCAUCUUGCUCAGUUGAUUGUUAUAUUGUUCAUGGACGGGUAACCUCGAAUAUAGUGAGUCGCGCUCGCCGGUCUCCAAAAACCAACUGAAGUUCACGGCAAGACCUUUACCCUACAACGAUUCUCAUAUUUUGGACUUGUCAGAACAGAGAUGCCGUGUUCAUCUCGUUGAUAUGUUAAAAGGAAGAAGGUAUGAGGAUACAGCUAUUUACGGAAUUGCGAAUGUUUGCUGCAAAAGACAUUCCCAGUAACUGGGAAGUUGACUGGGUAUCCUCACAACGUCCUUCCUUUUCCAGCGAUGUGGUCGCUUGGUAUGAGAGAUUAAUGUUGACGCAGAUAGGGUAAGUUUUUCCUGUUUGUCUCUAACGCGUAAUUGUCCCGAUACAGACUUCGGAUGUUUCAUUA
rnacentral:lncRNA from 1 species